GGUUACAAAGCAGCCCAGAGGAGCCUCACUUACAUCUAGUCCCAGGGCGGUGCUGCCGUUGCUUCCAAACCCCAUUUGUCUGGCGGGGACAGAGCAAGACUGGACUCUGCCCAGAGCUGGGGGGCUGUUCCCUCUUAACUGGGCUGCCCUGUGGUCUUGGGCCCCAGCAGGAGAGUUUCCUUGGCUAGUGGAUCGCUAGUAUCUCAGAAGAACAACUCCCUUAUCCUCUAGAGACAACUGCUCCACGAAAAACCCAGAGAUCUCCAGAAGCACAGGCAUCGGUGUGUCAGUGUGGCGUCUUCUCUCAGAUCCAAGCGGCAGGUGGGAAGUCCCGAGGGACGGCAAUCUGGAGCCGCAGUUGGGAAGGGUCCCGAGCAGUGCGUCCACCCCACGGGGAAUGUAUAAAGCUUGUAAUAAAAAGAAUAAACACUGUUCAUCUUGAUACAGCUUUCUUCAAGAAGUCCGAACAUUUCAAGGGAAGGGUUAUAAAAGAUGAGAUGAGAGCUGGACAGACAGCAGCUGAAGUCAGACGGAACUCCUAAGUGUUUGGAAGCCUGUGUAUCCACAUCGAUCUUACUUAAAAGAUGGUCCAUUAUUGUGGCGUUAGGACAGAAGGUCAGAACUCCUCUGUGCUUCACUCAGCUCUCAGUGUCCUGGCCGUGAACAGGUCGAAUGAUGUCAACCAUCAAAUGAAGAUAAUUGUAACAAGAAGGCAAGAUUAAGAGACGUGGAAUAAGAUUGUUUGCACCCAGAGCAAAAUGUUAUUUUUUGGUCUUUUUUGUCAAUCAAAAGGAAUUGCUUUAGGGCUUCCCUGGUGGCGUGGUGGUUGAGAGUCUGCCUGCCGAUGCAGGGGACACGGGUUCGUGCCCCGGUCCGGGAAGAUCCCACAUGCCGCGGAGCGGCUGGGCCUGUGAGCCAUGGCCGCUGAGCCUGCGCGUCUGGAGCCUGUGCUCCGCAACGGGAGAGGCCACAACAGUGAGAGGCCCGCGUACCGCAAGAAACAAAAACA